rnacentral:rRNA from 1 species
GACGAACGCUGGCGGCGUGCUUAACACAUGCAAGUCGAACGGAAAGGCCCUGCUUUUGUGGGGUGCUCGAGUGGCGAACGGGUGAGUAACACGUGAGUAACCUGCCCUUGACUUUGGGAUAACUUCAGGAAACUGGGGCUAAUACCGGAUAGGAGCUCCUGCUGCAUGGGGGGGGUUGGAAAGUUUCGGCGGUGGGGGAUGGACUCGCGGCUUAUCAGCUUGUUGGUGGGGUAGUGGCUUACCAAGGCUUUGACGGGUAGCCGGCCUGAGAGGGUGACCGGCCACAUUGGGCCUGCGAUACGGCCCAGACUCCUACGGGAGGCAGCAGUGGGGAAUAUUGCACAAUGGGCGGAAGCCUGAUGCAGCAACGCCGCGUGCGGGAUGACGGCCUUCGGGUUGUAAACCGCUUUCGCCUGUGACGAAGCGUGAGUGACGGUAAUGGGUAAAGAAGCACCGGCUAACUACGUG